UACAGAGGUCCCGAGCGUUGUUCGGAUUCACUGGGCGUAAAGGGUGCGUAGGUGGUGAGGUAAGUCGGCUGUGAAAUCUCCAGGCUCAACCUGGAAACGGCAUUGGAAACUACCUUGCUAGAGGUUUUGAGGGGGGACUGGAAUUCUCGGUGUAGCAGUGAAAUGCGUAGAUAUCGAGAGGAACACCAGUGGCGAAGGCGAGUCCCUGGAAAACACCUGACACUGAGGCACGAAAGCUAGGGGAGCAAACAGG
rnacentral:rRNA from 1 species